rfam:Prochlorococcus marinus MED4 complete genome.
AUCAGAAACUCCUCACACACUAAUUUCUGAUAAUCAGGCACCCUUAUCUCUAAAUUAGGGUGUUUUUUAUUGACAUAA